UACGUAGGGGGCAAGCGUUGUCCGGAUUUAUUGGGCGUAAAGAGCUCGUAGGCGGUCUGUCGCGUCGGGAGUGAAAACACCGGGCUUAACUCGGUGCUUGCUUUCGAUACGGGCAGACUGGAGGUAUGCAGGGGAGAACGGAAUUCCUGGUGUAGCGGUGAAAUGCGCAGAUAUCAGGAGGAACACCGGUGGCGAAGGCGGGUCUCUGGGCCGUAACUGACGCUGAGGAGCGAAAGCGUGGGGAGCGAACAGG
rnacentral:rRNA from 1 species